rnacentral:rRNA from 1 species
GACGAACGCUGGCGGCGUGCUUAACACAUGCAAGUCGAACGGAAAGGCCCUGCUUUUGUGGCUUGCUCGAUUGGCGAACGCGUGAGUAACACGUGUGUAACCCGCCCCUGACUUUGGGAUAACUUCAGGAAACUGGGGCUAAUAUCGCAUAUGAUCUCUUGCUCCAUGGUGGUGGUUGGAAAGUUUCGGCUGUUGGGGAUGGACGCGCUGCUUACCCGCUUGAUGGUGGGGUAGGGGUUUACCAAGGCUUUGACGGGUAGCCUGCCUGAGAGCGUGGCCGGGGACAUUGGGACUGAGAGACGGCGCAGAAGCCAACGGGAGGCAGCAGUCGGGAAUCUUGCACAGUGGGCGGAAGCCUGAUGCAGCAACGCCGGGAGCGGGAUGCCGUCCUUCGAGUUGUAAACCGCUGUCGCCUGUGACGAGGCGUGAGUGACGGUAAUGGGUAAAGAAGCACCGGCUAACUACGUG